rnacentral:rRNA from 1 species
GAUGAACGCUAGCUACAGGCUUAACACAUGCCAGUCGAGGGGAAACGGCAUCGAAAGCUUGCUUUUGAUGGGCGUCGACCGGCGCACGGGUGAGUAACGCGUAUCCAACCUGCCCAUCACUUGGGAAUAACCUUGCGAAAGUAAGACUAAUGCCCAAUGACAUCCCACGAAGGCAUCCGAAUGGGAUUAAAGAUUUAUCGGUGAUGGAUGGGGAUGUGUCUGAUUAGCUUGUUGGCGGGGUGACGGCCCACCAAGGCAACGAUCAGUAGGGGUUCUGAGAGGAAGGUCCCCCACAUUGGAACUGAGACACGGUCCAAACUCCUACGGGAGGCAGCAGUGAGGAAUAUUGGUCAAUGGGCGAGAGCCUGAACCAGCCAAGUAGCGUGCAGGAUGACGGCCCUAUGGGUUGUAAACUGCUUUUAUAAGGGAAUAAAGUGGGUCACGUGUGACUUUUUGCAUGUACCUUAUGAAUAAGGACCGGCUAAUUCCGUG